rnacentral:lncRNA from 1 species
GUAUCAUAUGCAAUUCAGAUGUUCUGUUUUCUCCAAUGAGCGAUGGACUCCCAGUAAUAUUUUCACCAGUUGUAGAAUCCAACGACAGUGUCAUCCACGAAGACAGUAAUCUUAAUGUGGACUUUGAUGCAGCCACAUGUAGGAUGGCGGGCGUAUCAACCAUGUGGAAGAUUGAAUUGAGGCCAACAGCGCGAGGAUUCGUUGUGACCACAGGAGGUGUUGCUGGUUUGAAUCGGUUUAAGAUCACCAAGUAUGAAGGUGGUAAUAAUUUGUAUCAGCUUUCUUACUGUCCAAUUUCCGAACCCAUAUGUGAAUGCUCAUGCGUCCCACUAGGCAAAGUUGUCAAUCGCUUGGCUCCCAGUACCGUCCCUUUUCCUGUUGUGUUUGUACCAUCCGAUAGAGCUUCUAAAAUCGAGUAUAAAAUGAUGUAAGAAUGAUAUAGAUCAGUGCUGCAAUCCUGAAUGAGGGAGCUCGAUUGCCUGCUAUGGUCAUGUGUUGGGCAUCAAUAACUCUUGAAUAAAUACGAAGCUCUUUCGCUUUGGCUUUUGCUUGAUUUUCACGUUCUCUCCAUAUGUAUACUACGUUUGUUGCUUGAUGAUUACCUUGACUCUCACAGCAUUAAAGCAUGAUAAUUCCUUACCUUCUUCUUUUCAAGAAUUACAUUAUACAUCAUCAUCAAAUUUAAAUUUCGAUGAAAAACUAAAAUAUGUAUUGACUUUUCUUUUAGCUUUUUCACUUUUUUUUUUCCUUUUCCUUUUCCCUAUUCUUUUCCCCUCUUUCUGCUUUCCCUUUGCUCUCUUCUUUAUCCCUGAACAUCUCCUCUAUUCUAUUCUCUUGUUCAUAACAAUUAUCCCUUCUCUCUUCAUCUCUUCUCUCUUUUUAAAUAAGAUCUCUUGAUUAUGUAAAACAUUUUAUGUCUCAUAGUCGGGACAUUGCUGGGACUGAGGAUUCCCUUUCAACAUCCUGUGAUGAGAAGAAAAGGCCGGGGUUGUUGUGCCAAAAAGACGAAAAUAAACAGGACCAAAUUAAGGAAAUUUAGGAAGCGUGGCUACUAGAUCUAUGGUUGGUCGCAUGAGUAUAGAUCUAUGGUUGAUCGAAUGCCAUAGUUAUGGUUAGAACCUGUACAAAAUUCUUUAAGGUCAGCAUGCCUAAACUGAGCUCCCUGAUAGCCUUCAAUGCACUCUGUUUUUACCAUUUUCCUUUUUCGAGUUCACUUGGUGUUCUUAUCUCUUUCAUAAAAUACAAUCUUGUCUACAAUCCUCAGUUUCUAACUUCACUAUAUCGAAAGGAUCACGCCAAAGGAUCUGUUGUCCUUUACACAACGUGAGCACCAUGCGGUUGAAUCCUCAGAAUACUGCUUCUUUAUAGCAUAGGUUUCCCCAAGUUGAUGCGACAAGUUGCAUUAGCAAGAUCUGUGAUGGGAACAUCAGAACCUGGACUAUCAAUUUUUUGUUGAUUUUGUGACAGAGGUGACUAAUGAAGUUUCUUGAGGAUUUAGAGUGGGAAAGAGCUCGGAAGGCUUUCUCAUUGCCCUUUGUAUUUGGGUCCGAAUAUAAGGUAAGCUGGGGGUGGAAGCCUUUCGGGUCCUUGGAUUGCUGGUGGUAUCAUCCAGAGUUUAGAAGCUUAGAUGAGAGGUCUCUUCUGUUCAGCCACGUCGUUUUAGGAUCAUAAAGAGGCUGAGGCUACUAAAGAAAAACUCAAGGAUUGGAUUCGUACUUUUGGAUAAGCAACCGACAGAGGCAAAAUUGCUCAUUAAUGAUAUGGACCACGUGGCUGAAACUAGAGCAGUUUCAGACAUGGCUCCCCAAGAUGCGGAUCAAUUCAUAUUUUUUAGUUGGUUCAUAUCGAGUUAAUUUUCUUUUUGUUUUUAUUAAAAUUCAGUCUAAUCUAAAUGUCGAAAUCAUUGGUCGGCAUAUUAGCUAAAGUCAGGUUUUAAAUCAAUAGUUUCAGAAUAAUAAUUAGUAGCUUUGAAAUCUUAUCCAACAAGCUCUGAAAUCUUUUAGUUGGUCAUAUUAGGUUAAUUUUCUUUCUAUUUUUAUUGAAACUUGGUCUAAUCUAGACUUUCAAAUCACCGAAAUCACACGUCAACAUGUUUGCUCAAGUAAGGUUUUAAAUCAAUGCUUUUCAGAAUUAUAAUUAUCAGCUUUGAAAUAUCAUCCAACGAAGCUCUGGAAUUAUAAUUAUCAUGUAAUAAUAUAAGCAAAUUUCAAGUUGAAGGAAACUUUUAUACCAUAUGGAGAUGAUGAUAAAGAUGUAAAAUUAAGAAUGAAGGGAGCUAGAGUAUCGAACCAAUCUCUUACAUCAUGUGAAAUGAGGAUAAAGACUUUAGCUCUAAAAAAGAUUUAAAAUUAUGGAUGAAGACAAGACUACAUUUUUCUUGGAUACUACAUCUUGUCUUGGUUACAUGAACGAGACUUUUUUUUUUUUUUUGUUCUUAUAUUCUUGAAUUACAUUUAUGUUAGGUAGCCUGCAACUUUAGACUUCCUAUGCAACCUAUUUUGAAUAGCCACCCCUGCGUUUAAUUUAUAUUAUAACUUAUUACGCACGAGCAGAACACUUCUGUUGAAUGAAUCGAGCAAGUGGUCCGAGUGGCCAGAGCUCCAAACCUCCAAGACAACUCUUUGCCGUAGGCUGUCAUUUGUCGUCUUGUAAUUAACAGCUCUUCCGACACAUCAGCUAGAAGACAAGAUAAUAUUGGGAUAACUAAUAUACAGAUCUCAGCAAUGAAAUCGAUAAACAAUUUAGUGCAAGAAAACAGGGAUAGAGUUGAGACUCAUUCUGUUUUAUCCCAAAGCCAUAUGCUUUUUUAGCUUACAAAUCUAAUACGGAAAUAUUAUCCAAUAUUAGAUUGGCAACACCUUUUAUAAAACUUUAGGCAUAAGUUUUUGGCAAAUUUCUUUUUUGGUCCAUAUAGUUUUACAAUUAUAUAUAUGGAUUAGUCUAAAAUGUUAUUUUAUUCUCAUUCAAUUCCUAACUUUAAAGGAGAAAAUAGAGAGCGUAACCAUAUUAUAGCAAAUAAAAAAGGAAGUGGACGAGACAACAGGUUUUUGGCUAUGGAACUUGUUGAUCUUUGUAUUAUUCUAUUCCAUUCAAUAAGAAAAAUUUCGUUCAUAUAUUUAGAGUUUUAUUUUGUUUAAAAAAUAAAUCAGGGUUAAAAAAUUAAUUUUUUCUCUGGUUAGAUUUUUUUGAGAUCAUUUUGAGGAUUUUUGAGUUGGUUAAUGUGUUGUAAGACAUUCUAGGAGUGUUUAUUGAAUGUUUAAAGAUUAAAAUGGGUUAAAAAUAUAUUUUAUAGAUAAAAAUAGCAUCCCUAGAUGUUUUCUGAGUAGCGAACACUGUUAUUAAACCCGGCUUGGCCCGGCGGGUCGAUCCAGUAGCUGGACCAGUCCGGGUUUAAUAAAAGACAGGCUGUGACAACAGUUCGGGACCCGGGCGAACCCAGACGAUACCCGGUUUUUUUUUUUUAAAUGUGGGAUUUGAAACCCAUUAGUAUAUAUAUUCUAUGUUCCUAAAAAAAAAAUUUAUUUUUUAUUUUUUAUUUUUAUUUCUCUAACCAAACAUGUUUGUUUUCGCAUUAUCUUUAUUAAUUUCUUCUUUCUUAAAAAACUAACUAAACACUAUUCUUUUUUUUUUACUGUAAUAGUAACUAAACCAUGCCUUAAAAAACUAGAAAUUAGGGACUUGAUUUUUUAUGGAAAAAAUUAUAAAUCCCAUCACUAAUCAUCUGCGUUUAAGUGGUCGGAUUUUAUAAUCUAAUAUAAGCACGAGAAAAACAAUUUUGUGGGAUAAAUCAAGUAAGCAAGUGGUCCAAGAGGCAAGAGCUCCAAAGCCCAAACCUACCCGACAAGUCUCUGUCAGAGGACAAUAAUUUGUAGUUUCGUCGAGCAAGUGGCACUCGUUUAAUUAAUUGUAACUAAUAAUCCAAAUCCUUUCUCCCUAUAAAUUCAUGGUCUCUGUUCAAUCUUUGAACACAUCAACAACAAGACUCAAUAUUGGGAUAUAACUAUUACUUAUCAGAUUCAACAAUGAAGAUGACUAACUUUCUAGUGCUCUCCUUUCUUCUCUUUGCCUUCACGGCAACUUCAAUAUUUCCUCGUGCCGUUCAUGCUGAAGCAGUGAUCGAUGUCUUCGGUGAUGAGGUUAGAACUGGUGAUCGUUAUAUCAUCGGAGCCGCUUCGAAUGACUUUGCGGUCACUUCCAGCCGUAUCAUAUGCAAUUCAGAUGUUAUGUUUUCUCCAAUGAGCGAUGGACUCCCAGUAAUAUUUUCACCAGUUGUAGAAUCCAACGACAGUGUCAUCCACGAAGACAGUUAUCUGAAUGUGGACUUUGAUGCAGCCACAUGUAGGAUGGCGGGUGUAUCAACCAUGUGGAAGAUUGAAUUGAGGCCAACAGCGCGAGGAUUCGUUGUGACCACAGGAGGUGUUGCUGGAUUGAAUCGGUUCAAGAUCACCAAGUAUGAAGGUGGUAAUAAUUUGUAUCAGCUUUCUUACUGUCCAAUUUCCGAACCCAUAUGUGAAUGCUCAUGCGUCCCACUAGGCCAAGUUGUCAAUCGCUUGGCUCCCAGAACCAUCCCUUUUCCUGUUGUGUUUGUACCAUCCGAUAGAGCUUCUAAAAUCGAGUAUAAAAUGAUGUAAGAAUGAUAUAGAUCAGUACUGCAAUCCUGAAUGAGCUAGGGAGCUCGAUUGCCUGCUAUGAUCAUGUGUUGGGCAUCAAAUAAUUCUUGAAUAAAUACGAAGCUCUUUGGCUUUGGCUUUUGCUUGAUUUUCACGUUCUCUCCGUAUGUAUACUACGUUUGUUGCUUGAUGAUUACCUUGACUCUCACAGCAUUAAAGCAUGAUAAUUCCUUACCUUCAUCUUUUCAAGAAUUACAUUACACAUCAUCAUCAAAUUUAAAUUUCGAUGAAAAACUAAAAUAAGUAUUGACUUUUCUUUUAGCUUUUUCACUUUUUUUUUCCUUUUCCUUUUCCCUAUUCUUUUCCCCUCUUUCUCCUUUCCCUUUGCUCUCUUCUUUAUCCCUGAACAUUUACUCUCUUUACUUUCCUGUUCAUAACAAUUACCCCUUCUCUCUUUUUAAAAUUAGAUCUCUUGAUUAUGUAAAACAUUUUAUGUCUCAUAGUCGGGACAUUGCUGGGACUGAGGAUUCCCUUUCAACAUCCUGUGAUGAGAAGAAAAGGCCGGGAUUGUUGUGCCAAAAAGACGAAAUAAACAGGACCAAAUUAAGGAAAUUUAGGAAGCGUGGCUACUAGAUCUAUGGUUGGUCGCAUGAGUAUAGAUCUAUGGUUGAUCGCAUGCCAUAGUUAUGGUUAGAACCUGUACGAAAUUCUUUAAGGUCAGCAUGCCUAAACUGAGCUCCCUGAUAGCCUUCAAUGCACUCUGUUUUUACCAUUUUCCUUUUACGAGUUCACUUGGUGUUCUUAUCUCUUUCAUAAAAUAGCAUCUUGUCUACAAUCCUCAGUUUCUAACUUCACUAUAUCGAAAGGAUCACGCCAAAGGAUCUGUUGUCCUUUACACAACGUGAGCAGCAUGCGGUUUAAUCCUCAGAAUACUGCUUCUUUAUAGCAUGCGUUUCCCCAAGUUGAUGCGACAAGUUGCAUUAGCUAGAUCUGUAAUGGGAACAUCAGAACCUGGACUAUCAGUUUGUUGUUGAUUUUGUGACAGAGGUGACUAAUGAAGUUUCUUGAGGAUUUAGAGUGGGAAAGAGCUCGGAAGGCUUUCUCAUUGCCCUUUGUAUUUGGGUCCGAAUAUAAGGCAAACUGGGUUCGGUCCUUGGAUUGCUGGUCGUAUCAUCCAGAGUUUAUAAGAAGCUUAGCUGAGAGCAUGUGGGUGGGUGGAGCCUGGAGGUCUCUUCUGUUGAGCCACGUCGUUUUAGGUUCAGAAAGAGGCUGGGGCUACUAAAGAAAAACUCUAGGAUUGGAUUCGUACUUUUGGAUAAGAACCUGACAGAGGCAAAAUUGCUCCUUAGUGAUAUGGACCACGUGGCUGAAACUAGAGCAGUUUCGGACAUGGCUUUUAAACUAGAGCACGUCUCAUGUCAAAGUCAGAUGAAUUUUCCCAGGUCGAAAGGCUAACCAAGUUGCGAUCAAUCCAUAUCUUUUAGUCGGUCAUAUUAGAUUAAUUUUUUAUUUAUUGAAACUUGGUCUAGUCACCGAAAUCACUUAUCAGCAUGUUUGGUCAAGUUUGGUUUUAAAUCAAUGCUUUCAGAAUUAUAAUUUUCAUGUAAUGAUACAAGCAAAUUUCAAGUUCAAGGAAACUUUUAUUCUUAGAGGGUUUGUUUCAGAAUACGAUACCAUACGGAAAUGAUGAUAAAGAUGUAAAAUUAAGAAUCAAGAGAGCUAAUCAUCUAAGUGGUGAUGCAGUGGUAAAAGCUUGAGAUAAAAAGAUUUGCUCCCUUUGUGGUCUCAGGUUCGAGUCCUGUGGUUGCUCAUAUAAUGAUCACUGGAGACUUACAUGAUCGUUACUUCAGGACCCGUGGGAUUAGUCGAGGUACACACAAGCUAGUCCGGAUAUUCACAUUAAACUAAAAAAAAAAAAAGAAAUGAAGGGAGCUAGAGUAUCGAACCAAUCUCUUAUACCAUGUUAAAUGAGGAUAAAGACUUUAGCUCUAAAAAAGAUUUAAAAUUAUGGAUGAAGACAAGACUACAUUUUUCUUGGAUACUACAUCUUGUCUCGGUUACAUGAACGAGACUUUUUUUUUUUCUUAUAUUCUUGAAUUACAUUUGCUGAAUGAAGAGCUACCUAUUAAUUUAUACAAGGGAGUAGCCUACCAUUUAUGUUAGGUAGCCUGCAACUUUAGACUUCCUAUGCAACCUAUUUUGAAUAGCCACCCCUGCGUUUAAUUUAUAUUAUAACUUAUUAAGCACGAGCAGAACACUUCUGUGGAAUGAAUCGAGCAAGUGGUCCGAGAGGCCAGAGCUCCAAACCUCCAAGACAACUCUUUGCCGUAGGCUGUCAUUUGUCGUCUUGUAAUUAACAGCUCUUCCGACACAUCAGCUAGAAGACAAGAUAAUAUUGGGAUAACUACUAUACUGAUCUCAGCAAUGAAAUCGAUAAACAAUUUAGUGCAAGAAAACAGGGAUAGAGUUGAGACUCAUUCUGUUUUAUCCCAAAGCCAUAUGCUUUUUUAGCUUACAAAUCUAAUACGGAAAUAUUAUCCAAUAGCAGAGAGUGUUUUUACAUUUAUUUAUCAAUUAAAUUAAAUUAAAUUACAUCAUUAAAAGUGCAAGAUUAAAAUGAAAACAAAAAUCAUUAUUUGUGAAUAAUCAAAACCUUAUUUUAAUUGAAAUAAAAUGAUUAUUUAUGUGAUACACACUAGCUACUAGAAAACUGGAAAGUAGUGAUAAGAUUUUUUAUGGAAAAAUUUAUAAAUUCCAUCACUAAUUAAUCAUCUCUGCGUUUAAUUGAUCGGAUCUUAAUUAUAACCCAAUAAGCACGAGCAGAACACUUUUGUGAAAUGAAUCAAAGAAAGCAAGUGGGGCAAGUUGGCUAAUCGAGUUCUGCGCGCAAGAGGCUGCUUCGAACCUAGACGACAACUUAAUCAAUACGAGUGAAACACUAUAGUUUAUAUUUUUGUGGAACUAGAGGCACAUGUUUUUAAUUAAUUGUAAAAAAUAAUCGAAAUGCCUUCUCCCCUAUAAAUCCAUGCUCUCUGUGCAUUCUUCCACCACAACAAUAACGAGAAACAAUACUGAGAUAAUUAACUAACACUCAUCAUAUUUUCAACAAUGAAGAUCACCAAGUUUGUAGUGCUCUCCUUUCUUCUCUUUGCCUUCACAGCAACUUCAAUAUUUCCUCAUGCUGUUCAUGCAGAAGAUCCUGAAGCAGUGAUCGAUGUCAACGGUAAUGAGGUGACAGCUGAUGCUCGUUAUUUCAUCGGAGCCGCUUCGGAUGAUAAUACAACAACUCUUGCGGUCUCUGCGACUAGCCAGAUCAUAUGCAAUUCAGAUGUUAUACUUUCCUCAAUGAGCAAUGGGCUCCCAGUAACAUUUUCAUCACCAGUUGGAGAAUCCAACGACGGUGUCAUCCGCGAAGACAGUUAUCUGAAUGUGAACUUUGAUGCAGCCACAUGUAGGAUGGCGGGCGUAUCAACCAUGUGGAAGAUGGAGUUGAGGCCAACAAUGCGAGGAUUCGUUGUGACCACAGGAGGUGUUAAUGGAUUGAAUCGGUUCAAGAUCACCAAGUAUGAAGGUGGUAAUAAUUCGUAUCAGCUUUCUUACUGUCCAAUUUCCGACCCCAUGUGCGAAUGCUCAUGCGCAUGCGUCCCACUUGGCAACGUUGUCGAUCGCUUGGCUCCCAGCACCAUCCCUUUUCCUGUUGUGUUUGAACCAGUUGCAGAUAAAAGCUCCUGAAAUCGAGUAUAAAAUGAUGCAAGAAUGAUAUCGAUCACUACUGCCAUCCUGAAUGAGGAAGCUCACUGUCAUGGGUUGGGCAUAAAUAAAUUUUAAAUAAAUACGAAGCUUUUUAGCUUUAGCUUUCCCUUAAUGUACUUGUUGUCUCCAUUAAUAUAAUACGUUUUUUUCUUUAUCUUGUCACUUGAAAAUCAUCUGAUUACUACGAUCAUAGUUUGAUAUCAUCUAAAUGUUCGGAACCAAAUGUUAAUUAUGCUGUUUUUAUUUUUAUUUUAUUUUUUUUGCAUAUUUUUAAUGGUUUUUAGGUAUAAUUAAGUAUAAAACUAUAUUUUGACAAAUACCUUCUUUAACUGAUCAAACAAUUGUAAAACCAAAAAGUUUCAAUCUUUUGACAAAUACCGGCCCUUUUUUUUUUUUUUUUGGGGGAGGUGUCAACGCCUUUUAUAAAACUUUAGGCAUAAGUUUUUGGCAAAUUUCUUUUUUGGUCCAUAUAGUUUUACAAUUAUAUGGAUUAGUCUAAAAUGUUAUUUUAUUCUCAUUCAAUUCCUAACCUUAAAGGAGAAAAUAGAGAGCGUAACCAUAUUAUAGCAAAUAAAAAAGGAAGUGGACGAGACAACAGGUUUUUGGCUAUGGAACUUGUUGAUCUUUGUAUUAUUCUAUUCCAUUCAAUAAGAAAAAUUUCGUUCAUAUAUUUAGAGUUUUAUUUUGUUUAAAAAAUAAAUCAGGGUUAAAAAAUUAAUUUCUUCUCUGGUUAGAUUUUUUUGAGAUCAUUUUGAGGAUUUUUGAGUUGGUUAAUGUGUUGUAAGCCAUUCUAGGAGUGUUUAUUGAAUGUUUAUAGGUUAAAAUGGGUUAAAAAUAUAUUUUAUAGAUAAAAAUAGCAUCCCUGGAUUUUUUUCUGAGUAGCGAACGAUGCGCUAACUUUCUUUCUUUUUUAACUUCGUCCACCCAUCUUGAAACUUUUGAAAACUAAAGCCAAGUGCUUGGGCAUGCAUCCUAUGAUAGGCCCACGAGUUGGGCCUUGUUGUUGCUGGGUUAUGUGUGUUGGGCCUUUCAGGCUAUUAUUAAUUUCUUUAAUUAAUUUAGAAUUCAUUUAGGCUAUUAUUUUUUUAGAAACACUGUUAAAAUUUUAGUUAGUUUUUGAAUAAGAUUAAUGUUGUCUUUUUUCUUUUACUGAAUGUUUUUUUUACAGCCUUUCAUAUUUGAUUUUAAGAAAACUACUCGAUGAGUUUUAUAUGAGUGUGUAUUUUUAUUAUUAUAUUGCUAAAUAAAAAACAGUUUCAAAAAAAUAAAAUAAUUGAACCAAGUCGGAUUCAUUAUUUUAAUAUUUUAAAAAAUUAAACUGAUUUUAUUUUUGAAAAAAAUUAAAUCUUUCUCGUUGCUUAAUAUUAAAGAAUCAAUUAACCUAAAAGUUUAAGCUGUAAGGUAAGGUUCUAAGAUAUGAUUUAUAUUAUUCUCUAAUACACGUCUUGAAGUAAAAGCUCUUUGGAUUUGAAACUUGCACAGACUUAUAAUACUUUGUAAUUGAUUUUUAUCAAAUAAAGAGGGAUUGUGAAAUUUGAUUUUGUGAUUACUUGGUCAUUAAAAUUCUGAUAUUAUAUCAAAAAACCAAUUAAACCUAAAAACUUAAGCUAUUAGGUAAAAUUCUAAGAUAUAAUUUAUAUCAUUCUCUAAUAUUUAAAAAUGUAUUAAUAGCACAUGUAUAUUUUUUCCGACCUACAUUCGAUUAUUGUUUUCCAUAAUUAAAAUUUCUCGUUGGUAUCUCUUACGAACCAAGUCUUUCCGCACUGGAUAAGCCUCUCAUCACAACAUUGCCUCAUGGACUAGAAGACAAAUUUCCUGACUUGAAAUCUAAGAGGGAGAUGAGACAAUUUAGAGUAGGAUGCAGCUAAAUUAACAAAUAUAUUUUCCUAUUAUAUUAAUUAUUAAUAUCGACUUGAAAAGGUUACAAUAAUUAUUUUUAAAGAUGAGAAGUAUUUUUACAAUGAGUUUAGCAAUAACCUUUUCAUAAUAAGAUUCAAUGGUUUUAUUAUUAUUAGUUUUAAUUGAGAUUAUUUAUGGAGCCGGCAUAGAAAAACUAUUUGUGUGGAUUUUGUUCAAUUCUGUCUGUGCAUAUAUCAUAUUUUGAAACCCGAUCCAGUUUAGCGAGUCGACUCGGGAUCUGAAUAGAGAAAAGAAAAACCCGGUAUAACCUGGUUGAUCCAAUAAGACCCGGUUAUAACUCGUUAAUUUUUUUUUUAUCAAAACAACAUCAUUUUGAUUUUAAAAAAAAUUAAUGUGGUGAUUUGAUAAUCCUAUCAAAAUUUAGAAUCCGAGCCUUGAUUUGAAAUUUUUUGUUGAAUUUUAUGCAUGAUAUAUGUUUAUCAAUCGAUAUCUCGAGCCACCAUGAUUGUCAAAUACAAGAUUUAAACCAAUAAGUUUAAAAGACACAUGACGAACAUGCAGCCAUCCAUGCUUUAAUUAAUCGAAUCUUAUACACUUUAAAGCACGAGUAAAACACCUUGUGGGACAGAACAAGUGGUCCAUGCAUGAGGCAUAGGUUGUACAUGUAAUUAUUUAUAUAGGACAAACUCAUCAAAGGAUUAAUUAUGUUUAGGAAUAUGGUUUUUUUAAAAAAAAAUUAAAUUAUUUUUUGACGUUUCCGGUUAAAAAUAUUAUUUAAUAUAUUUCUAAAUAAUUUAUUAUAAUUCUAAAUACCUCAGUAAUGAACAUCGCGACUACGGAAAUAUGAAACAAAUUGGAGACAUUCGAUGAAUAUGGAAGACAAAAUGAGAAAUACUGGACCACGUAAAUCACUUUUGUGGGACAAAACAAGGAGUCCAUGCAUGAGGCACAGGCUGUACAUGUAAUUAUUUACAUAGGAAAAACUCGUGGAAAGAUUAAUUAAUACUGUGUUUAAAAAUAUAAUUGAAAUUGUAUUUUUAAAAAAAUUUAAAUUAUUUUUUAUAUUGUUUUGAUGUGCUAAUAUUAAAAAUAUUUUUUUUUAAAUAUAAUAUUUUAAUAUGUUUUCAAAUAAAAAACUUUAAACCACAAUUAUUACUAUAAUUUUAAAUACCUUCAUAUUUAAAUGUUGUAAUUAUAAAAACAUAUAUAAAAUAAAUUGGAAACAUUCAAUGAAUAUAGAAGAAAAAACAAGAGAUUUAGUUUAAAAUAGUCCAAGAAAAAUUUUUAUUUUUUAUAUUUAUAUUUUUCAAACCAAAUAUAUUUCUUUUCACACUAUCUUUAUUAAUUUUUUCUUUUUUAAAAAAUAACUAAACACUAUUCUUUUCUUUUUUCCCUGUUAUAGUAACUAAACCAUGCCUUAAAAAGUAGAAAUUAGGGACUAGAUUUUUAUGGAAAAAUUUAUAAUCCAUCACUAUCAUCUAUGCGUUAAGUGGUCGGAUUUAUAUCUAUAUNNNNNNNNNNNNNNNNNNNNNNNNNNNNNNNNNNNNNNNNNNNNNNNNNNNNNNNNNNNNNNNNNNNNNNNNNNNNNNNNNNNNNNNNNNNNNNNNNNNNAUAACCACCACACCACAAUACUGCAGCAGUAGCUUCCCCAGGCUCUAUUACCGAUCCUAAUACUUUAGCUGAGCAAUUUCAGAAGUUUCUCUCCUUGCAGCCACAAGCAAUGUCCGCUUCUUCCAUAGGUCAGUUGCCUCAUAAUUCCUCAGGUAUGUCACACUCUGAAUGGGUCUUGGAUUCUGGUGCUUCACAUCAUAUGUCUCCAGAUUCCUCAUCUUUUACCUCAGUGUCCCCUUUGUCCUCCAUUCCUGUUAUGACUGCUGAUGGCACUCCUAUGCCCUUAGCAGGUGUUGGUUCUGUUGUCACACCUCACUUGUCUCUCCCUAAUGUUUAUCUUAUUCCAAAACUCAAAUUGAAUCUUGCGUCUGUUGGUCAAAUAUGUGAUUCUGGUGAUUAUUUAGUCAUGUUUUAUGGUUCUUUUUGUUGUGUACAGGAUCUGCAGUCUCAGAAGCUGAUUGGGACAGGCCGUAGGGAGAAUGGGCUAUAUAUUUUGGAUGAGUUAAAAGUGCCAGUUGCUGCUGCUGCCGCUGCUGCUACUACUGCUGAUUUGUCUUCCUUUCGUUUGAGUCUUUCAUCUUCUAGUUUUUAUUUAUGGCAUUCCCGUCUAGGUCAUGUUUCGUCUUCUCGUUUGAGAUUUUUGGCAUCCACAGGAGCUUUAGGAAAUUUGAAAACUUGUGACAUUUCUGAUUGUAGUGGAUGUAAACUGGCAAAAUUUUCUGCUUUACCUUUUAAUCGAAGUAUUUCUGUUUCAUCUUCACCAUUUGAUUUGAUUCAUUCUGAUGUAUGGGGACCUUCUCCUGUUUCCACAAAAGGAGGGUCUCGAUAUUAUGUCUCUUUUAUUGAUGAUCAUACUCGUUAUUGUUGGGUUUAUUUAAUGAAACAUCGUUCUGAAUUCUUUAAGAUAUAUGCAGCUUUUCGAGCUCUUAUCAAAACUCAACAUUCUGCUGUGAUCAAAUGCUUUAGGUGUGAUUUGGGUGGGGAAUACACCUCUAAUAAAUUUUGUCAAAUGCUUGCCUUAGAUGGAACCAUCCACCAAACUUCAUGUACAGAUACUCCUGAACAAAAUGGUGUAGCUGAAAGAAAACAUAGGCAUAUUGUCGAAACUGCUCGUUCUCUCUUGUUGUCUGCUUUUGUUCCUAGUGAAUUUUGGGGAGAAGCUGUUCUUACUGCUGUAAGUUUGAUUAAUACAAUUCCAUCUUCUCAUAGUUCGGGUCUAUCUCCUUUUGAAAAGCUAUAUGGGCAUGUCCCUGAUUAUUCCUCAUUUAGAGUCUUUGGUUGUACUUGUUUCGUUCUUCGUCCUCAUGUAGAACGCAAUAAGCUAUCCUCUCGAUCCGCUAUUUGUGUCUUUCUGGGUUAUGGUGAAGGUAAAAAGGGGUAUCGUUGUUUUGAUCCAAUAACUCAGAAACUUUAUGUGUCUCGUCAUGUUGUCUUCCUUGAGCAUAUACCUUUCUUUUCUAUUCCAUCCACUACUCAUAGCCUGACAAAAUCUGAUCUUAUUCAUAUAGAUCUUUUUUCUGAAGAUUCUGGUAAUGAUACCUCUCCCUAUGUUCGAUCAAUUUGUACUCAUAACUCUGCAGGUACUGGUACUUUACUCUCUGGCACACCUGAAGCUCCAUUCUCAUCUACAGCCCCUCAAGCUUCAUCUGAGAUUGUGGAUCCACCUCCACGUCAGUCCAUCCGCAUUCGUAAGUCCACAAAAUUACCAGAUUUUGCUUAUUCUUGUUAUUCUUCAUCAUUUACUUCCUUUUUAGCUUCUAUUCAUUGUCUCUUUGAGCCCUCUUCCUAUAAAGAGGCAAUUCUUGAUCCGCUUUGGCAGCAAGCUAUGGAUGAGGAACUUUCUGCUUUGCAUAAGACAGAUACUUGGGAUCUGGUUCCUCUACCUCCUGGUAAGAGUGUUAUUGGUUGUCGUUGGGUGUAUAAGAUCAAGACUAAUUCUGAUGGGUCUAUUGAGCGAUACAAAGCUAGGCUGGUUGCAAAAGGAUACUCUCAACAGUAUGGUAUGGACUAUGAGGAGACAUUUGCCCCGGUUGCCAAAAUGACUACUAUUCGUACUCUUAUUGUCGUAGCUUCGAUUCGUCAGUGGCAUAUUUCUCAGCUUGAUGUUAAAAAUGCAUUCUUGAAUGGAGAUCUUCAAGAAGAAGUUUAUAUGGCACCCCCUCCUGGUAUUUCACAUGACUCUGGAUAUGUUUGUAAGCUUAAGAAAGCAUUAUAUGGUCUCAAACAAGCACCUCGUGCUUGGUUUGAGAAAUUCUCUAUUGUGAUCUCGUCUCUUGGCUUUGUUUCUAGCAGUCAUGAUUCUGCUCUUUUUAUUAAGUGCACUGAUGCAGGUCGUAUCAUUCUGUCUUUAUAUGUUGAUGACAUGAUUAUUACUGGUGAUGAUAUUGAUGGUAUUUCAGUUUUGAAGACAGAGUUGGCUAGACGAUUUGAAAUGAAGGAUUUGGGUUAUCUUCGAUAUUUCCUGGGUAUUGAGGUAGCAUACUCACCUAGAGGUUACCUUCUUUCUCAGUCGAAAUAUGUUGCAGAUAUUCUUGAGCGGGCUAGACUUACUGAUAACAAGACUGUAGAUACUCCUAUUGAGGUCAACGCGAGGUACUCUUCUUCUGAUGGUUUACCUUUGAUAGAUCCUACUUUAUACCGUACUAUUGUUGGGAGUUUGGUAUAUCUCACCAUUACUCGUCCAGAUAUUGCAUAUGCUGUUCAUGUUGUUAGUCAGUUUGUUGCUUCUCCUACUACUGUUCACUGGGCAGCUGUUCUUCGUAUUUUGCGAUAUCUUCGGGGUACAGUUUUUCAGAGUCUGUUACUUUCAUCCACCUCUUCCUUGGAGUUGCGUGCAUACUCUGAUGCUGAUCAUGGUAGUGAUCCCACAGAUCGCAAGUCUGUUACCGGGUUCUGUAUCUUUUUAGGUGAUUCUCUUAUUUCUUGGAAGAGCAAGAAACAAUCUAUUGUUUCUCAAUCAUCCACCGAAGCAGAAUAUCGUGCCAUGGCAUCUACUACCAAAGAGAUUGUUUGGCUGCGUUGGUUACUUGCUGAUAUGGGAAUUUCCUUUUCUCAUCCUACUCCUAUGUAUUGUGACAAUCAGAGUUCUAUUCAGAUUGCUCAUAACUCGGUUUUUCAUGAGCGCACUAAGCACAUUGAGAUCGAUUGUCAUCUUACUCGUCAUCAUCUCAAACAUGGCACCAUUGCUUUGCCUUUUGUUCCUUCUUCCUUGCAGAUUGCAGAUUUCUUUACCAAGGCGCAUUCCAUCUCUCGUUUUCGUUUUCUGGUUGGCAAACUCUCGAUGCUUGUAGCUGCCGCAUCGUGAGUUUGAGGGGAGAUGUUCACUAAUAUUUAUGUAGUCUUAUUUAUUAAGGGUAGAAUAGUACUUUCAGUUUGACCUAUAUAUACUUUAUUUGUAUUUAGGUUAACACUAUGCAUUCAUAAUAAACAGAUUAUUCAGAAUUGUAGCCUCCUUUUUGUAGUUGAUCUCAAUUACUUUAACACGGAUAACUGAAACAUAACCUGCCAAGACAGAAAACCACCAGAACUUGACAGAACCAGUUGCUACCCAAAUCCAAUGAUAAAACGAUUCAAAUCCGACAGUAAAAAUACAUUUCAUUUCAAAACAAAUCGAUUUUUGACCUCCAAAACAAGUUUAGUGAAUAUCUUUUUAAAUCUGCAUAUAAAAUCAAUAAUCCACGGCACCACAAACGAGCACAUAUUCACUUGAUCAAUCACAAUCAUACAAAAAAUAAGAUUAAUAUUGUUGUCUUUUUUAUUUUACUGAAUGUUUUUUUACAGCCUUUCAUAUUUGAUUUUAAAAAAACAACUCGAUGAGUUUUCUUUGAGUGCCUAUUUUUAUUAUUAUAUUGCUAAAUGAAAGAUAGUUUCAAAAAAAUAAAAUGAUUGAACCAAGUCGGAUUCAUUUAAUAUGUUAUUGGUUUUAAUAUUUUAAAAAAUUAAACUGAGUUUAUUUUUGAAAAAAAUCAAAUAUUUUUCGUUGCUUAAUGUUAAAGAACCAAUUAACCUAAAAGUUUAAGUUGUUAGGUAAGGUUGCAAGAUAUGAUUUAUAUUAUUUUCUAAUACACCCUUUGAAGUAAAAAGUUCUUUUAACUUGAAACUUGCACAAAUUUAUAAUACAUUGCAAUUGAUUUUUAUCAAAUAAAAGGGACAGUGAGAUUUGAAUUCGUGAUUACUUUGUCAUUAAAGCUCUGAUAUCAUGUUAAAGAAUUAAUUAAAUCUAAAAAACUAUUAGGUAAGAACUCAAAAUAUAAUUUAUAUUAUUUUUUAAUAUUUAAAAAUAUAUUAAUAGAACAUGUAUGUUUUUUUCCGACCUACAUUCCAUUAUUGUUUCCAUAAUUGAAAUUUCUCGUUGGUAUCUUUUACUAACCAAGUCUUUCCGCACUGGAUAGGCUUCUCAUCACACCAUUGCCACAUGGACUAGAAGACAAAUUUCCUGACUUGAAAUCGAAGAGGGAGAUGAGACAAUUUAGAAUAACACUAGUUAUAUAUGCUCCGCGUGAUGCCGUGAAUUAAUUAUUUUUUGCAUUUUAAAAAUAACCAAAAUAUAGAAUAUAGAAUUCAGAUCUUAAACCAAACCGACUACAUGAUCAGGUCUGAAAAGUAUGCAUGAUAGAUGUUUAUCAAUCGAUCUCUCGAGCCGCCAUGAUUGUCAAAUACAAGAUUUAAACCAAUAAUAAUAAUAAAUAAAUAAAAGACACAUGACGAACAUGGAGCCAUCCAUGCUUUAAUUAAUCGAAUCUUAUACACUAUAGGACAAAACAGGUGGUCCAUGCAUGAGGCAUAGCGCAAUAAUUUAUAGUUUUGUCAAACAGGGUGUACAUGUAAUUAUUUAUAUAUGACAAACGCAUUGAAAGAUUAAUUCACAUCAUGUUUAGAAAUAUAGUUAGAAUUGUUUUUUUUAAUUUAAAAUUGUUUUCAAUUUAAAAUUAUUUUUAUAUUUUUAUAUUGUUUUGAUAUGUUGAUAUUAAAAAUAAUUUUUUUAAAAUAAAAAAUAUUAUUUUAAUAUAUUUUUAAAUAAAAAAAAACUUCAAAAAAUUAUAGCAAUGAACAUUGCAACUAUGGAAAUAUGAAACAAGUUGGAGACGUUCAAUGAAUAUGAAAGACAAAACGAGAAAUCCAGGACCACGCAAAUUUCUAAGAACAAAAAUUAGCAUGGCCUACAACUAGUCAAACCUAUAUUUUGUGGGAACCCCGAAAAAAUAUACAUGUUUUCAAAUAUUAAUUCAUUUUAAGAACAAAAAAUAUAAUUUGUGCAAAAAAUCAUUCUUAUUUAUCCCAAAAACAUAUGCUUUAUAUCACACAAAUAUAUAUUCUUCAAUUGCAAUGAAUCUUUUUACAUUUACUUAUCAAUUAAAUUGAAUAAAAUCAUUAAAACUACAAGAAUAAAAUGAAAAAUAAAUCAUUAUUUGUGAGUAAUCAAAACCUUAUUGAAAUUAUAAAUGGAUUGAAAUAAAAAGAUUAUGUAUGUGAUGCACACUUCUCUGUAGCGUUUGACUACUAUCUCGAGAUAAAGAUGCCAAAUAACUAUCUCAACUCAAUAGAUUAAGUUAUUAGAUAAGAUUCUAAGAUAUAAUUUAUAUUAUUUUUUAACAUACCCCUCAAGUGAAAGCCAUUUGAACUUAAAAUUUGGACAGACUCACACUAUCCUGCACUUAUUUUUUAUCAACUAAAUAGGGAUAGUGAGAUUCGAACUUGUAACUGUUUGGUCAUCAAGACUCUGAUAUCAUAUAAAAAAAUCAAUUCAACCUAAUAACUUAAGUUGUUAGGUGAGGUCUCAUGAUAUGAUUUAUAUUAUUUUCUAACAUAUUCACUCGAAUAAAAGUUUUUUGGGUUUAUUCUAUUAGUUGGGAUAAGAGGAACAUGUUCUUUAUAUACUUUUUAUUUUGAAAUUACAUAAAUUUAGUUUAAAACAGUCUUAAAGAAAAUUUUAUUUUUAUAUUUUUAUUUUUAUUUCUCUAACCAAACAUGCUUCACUCCACAUUAUCUUUAUUAAUUUCUUCUUUCUCGAAAAAGUAACUAAACACUAUUCUUCUUCUUCUUUUUUUACUGUAAUAGUAACUAAACCAUGCCUUAAAAAACUAGAAAUUAGGGACUAGAUUUUUUAUGGAAAAAAUUAUAAAUCCCAUCACUAAUCAUCUAUACGUUUAAGUGGUCGGAUUUUAUAAUCUAAUAUAAGCACGAGAAAAACAAUUUUGUGGGAUAAAUCAAGUAAGCAAGUGGUCCAAGAGGCGAGAGCUCCAAAGCCCAAACCUACCCGACAAGUCUCUGUCAGAGGACAAUAAUUUGUAGUUUCGUCGAGCAAGUGGCACUCGUUUAAUUAAUUGUAACUAAUAAUCCAAAUCCUUUCUCCCUAUAAAUUCAUGGUCUCUGUUCAAUCUUUGAACACAUCAACAACAAGACUCAAUAUUGGGAUAUAACUAUUACUUAUCAGAUUCAACAAUGAAGAUUACUAACUUUCUAGUGCUCUCCUUUCUUCUCUUUGCCUUCACGGCAACUUCAAUAUUUCCUCGUGCCGUUCAUGCUGAAGCAGUGAUCGAUGCCUUCGGUGAUGAGGUUAGAACUGGUGAUCGUUAUAUCAUCGGAGCCGCUUCGAAUGACUUUGCGGUCACUUCCAGCCGUAUCAUAUGCAAUUCAGAUGUUAUGUUUUCUCCAAUGAGCCAUGGACUCCCAGUAAUAUUUUCACCAGUUGUAGAAUCCAACGACAGUGUCAUCCAUGAAGACAGUAAUCUGAAUGUGGACUUUGAUGCAGCCACAUGUAGAAUGGCGGGCGUAUCAACCAUGUGGAAGAUUGAAAUGAGGCCAACAGCGCGAGGAUUCGUUGUGACCACAGGAGGUGUUGCUGGAUUGAAUCGGUUCAAGAUCACCAAGUAUGAAGGUGGUAAUAAUUUGUAUCAGCUUUCUUACUGUCCAAUUUCGGAACCCAUAUGUAAAUGCUCAUGCGUC